UAAACUAUCGUUCUGGGAACAG
rnacentral:miRNA from 3 species